GUUCCUGCUCGACACCCUCUGCUACAAUUUUUGUGGUAGUGUUCAUGGUAUUAAAAAGACCCCAGACAGUUUGGAUUGGCGUACACACCUUCUCCACUCUAAUGCUCAACACCGGAGCCCCCCCAAGGCUGUGUGCUCAGGCCCCACCAACGACUGCAUCCACGACAUGGAGGCGACACCACCAUCAUUGGCUGGAUUUCAAACAAUAAUGAGACUUCCUAUCAGCUUUGUUAUAUUCAACUUCAGGGCCAUCUCUAAACGGUCUUUCUUAUCUAAAGUCCUGGAGAAAGUAGUUUUUACCCAGCUGCAAAAAUUUUUAAUUAAUAAUAAUAAUGUUUAGGAAAAGUUCCAGUCUGGCUUCAAACCCCGUCACAGCACAGAUUCUGCACUUAAGAGUUUUUAAUGACUUGAUUUUAACUGUUGACUCAGGAGUCUCUGCCAUCCCAGUGCUCUUAGACUCCACUGCUGCCUUUGACACUCAAUCCUCUUGUUACGGUUGGAAAACUGUGUGGGAAUCAAAAGGUACUGCCCCUGGCCUCCAUUUUUGAGAGGUAUGAAGUCUCUUUCUACUGUUUUGCAGACGAUGUUCAAAUUUACAGUAUUUGCCCCUGAAUAUUAAAACAAAGGGCUCACUGCAGCCCCUGCUUGACCGUAUGAAGGACAUCUAAAAACAUGGAUGAACGUAAACUUCCUCAACCUAAACGGAGACAAGACAGAGGUCAUAGUGUUUGGACAUCCUGAACUGCUUGAUGGGGAUUCUCUCGGUCCUUUGACUUCAAAUAAAUCGCUCAACUGUGAGGAGUCUUGGUGUUGUAUUGGAUAGUGCGUUUAAAUUUGAUAAACAGAUUGCCUCCACUGUUAAAUCCUGCUUUUUCCAGUUGAGCCAAGGUAAAGGCCUAUCUCCAUCCUAAAGAUUUGGAGAGGGUGAUUAAUGCCUUCUUAACUUCCCACCUUGACUAUUGUAACUCCUUAUAUGUGGGCUUAGACAAGUCAUCUAUUCAGCGCCUGGAGUGAGUCCAAAAUUCUGCUGCCUGCCUCCUGACAGGAAAGAAGACACCCAUGUUGUGCUCACUCCACUGGCUUCCUGUUCAUUACAGGAUUGAUUUUAAAAUCUUACUUUUAACUUUUAAAUGCCUUAAUGGAUUGGCUCCAUUGUACUUAACAGAGCUUCUUCAUGUUUACACUCCAGCUAGAGCGGGGAGAUCUGCCAGUCUCCUCCUCCUGGAUGUACCCAGAAGCAGACUUAAAACCAGAGGCGAUUGAGCCUUUAGUGUAGCUGCCCCUAACCUGCGGAAUAUCCUGCCAGUCCAUAUCAGAACUGCCUCAACUCUAGAAGGUUUUAAAUCACUGUUAAAAACACAUCUCAUUUCUUUGGCAUUUCCUUCGAGUUAAGU